rnacentral:rRNA from 1 species
GAUGAACGCUGGCGGCGUGCCUCAAACAUGCAAGUCGAGCGGGGCUAUGUAAUAUCGCAAGGUAGAACAUAGCCUAGCGGCGAACGGGUGAGUAACACGUGGGUAACCUGCCUGGAAGACAGGGAUAACGAUUCGAAAGGGUCGCUAAUACCUGAUAAUAUCCUUUCAUCGCAUGGUGAUAGGAAGAAAGGGGAAACCCGCUUUCAGAUGGGCCCGCGUCCCAUCAGCUAGUUGGUAAGGUAAAGGCUUACCAAGGCGACGACGGGUAGCCGGUCUGAGAGGAUGUACGGCCACACUGGGACUGAGAUACGGCCCAGACUCCUACGGGAGGCAGCAGUUGGGGAAUAUUCCGCAAUGGACGAAAGUCUGACGGAGCAACGCCGCGUGAGUGAUGAAGGUUUUCGGACUGUAAAACUCUGUUGUUUUAGGACGAAAGUGCCUGUUGCAAAUAGUUGCAGGUAUUGACGGUACUGAACGAGGAGCCACGGCUAACUACGUGCCAGCAGCCGG